rnacentral:rRNA from 1 species
CCUACGGGUGGCUGCAGUAGGGAAUUUUGCGCAAUGGGCGAAAGCCUGACGCAGCAACUCCGCGUGGAGGACGACAUUUUUCGGAAUGUAAACUCCUGUCGGCAGGGAAGAAUAAAUGACGGUACCUGCAAAGGAAGCAUCGGCUAACUACGUGCCAGCAGCCGCGGUAAGACGUAGGAUGCAAGCGUUGUCCGGAAUUAUUGGGCGUAAAGAGUUCGUAGGCGGUUUCUUAAGUCUGGUGUUAAAGGUCGGAGCUCAACUCCGGUACGGCAUUG